UACGGAGGGUGCGAGCGUUGUCCGGAAGUCACUGGGCGUAAAGGGCGCGUAGCGGUUUGGCUAAGCGUGUGGUGAAAGCUUGAAGCUCAACUUCAAAAAUGCAGCAGAAACUAGUAGACUUGAGUAUGGUAGGGGUAGAGGGAAUUUCCAGUGAAGUGGUGAAAUGCGUAGAUAUUGGAAAGACCACCAAUGGCGAAGGCACUCUACUGGGCCAUAACUGACACUGAGAGACGAAAGCUAGGGGAGCAAAUGGG
rnacentral:rRNA from 1 species